GUCACCAUGGGGUGUGGUCACUGUUGGGAAUGGUCACAGUGAGGUGUGGUCACCAUGGGGUGUGGUCACCAUGGGGUGUGGUCACUGCUGGGAAUGGUCACAGUGAGGUGUGGUCACCAUGGGGUGUGGUCACCAUGGGGUGUGGUCACUGUUGGGAAUGGUCACAGUGAGGUGUGGUCACAGUGAGGUGUGAACACCGUGAGGUGUGGUCACUGUGGGAAGCAGUCACAGUGAGGUGUGGUCACCAUGGGGUGUGGUCACCAUGGGGUGUGGUCACUGUUGGGAAUGGUCACAGUGAGGUGUGGUCACCAUGGGGUGUGGUCACCAUGGGGUGUGGUCACUGUUGGGAAUGGUCACAGUGAGGUGUGGUCACCAUGGGGUGUGGUCACCAUGGGGUGUGGUCACUGUUGGGAAUGGUCACAGUGAGGUGUGGUCACAGUGAGGUGUGAACACCGUGAGGUGUGGUCACUGUGGGAAGCAGUCACAGUGAGGUGUGGUCACCAUGGGGUGUGGUCACCAUGGGGUGUGGUCACUGUUGGGAAUGGUCACAGUGAGGUGUGGUCACCAUGGGGUGUGGUCACCAUGGGGUGUGGUCACUGUUGGGAAUGGUCACAGUGAGGUGUGGUCACCAUGGGGUGUGGUCACCAUGGGGUGUGGUCACUGUUGGGAAUGGUCACAGUGAGGUGUGGUCACCAUGGGGUGUGGUCACCAUGGGUUGUGGUCACUGUUGGGAAUGGUCACAGUGAGGUGUGGUCACCAUGGGGUGUGGUCACCAUGGGGUGUGGUCACUGUUGGGAAUGGUCACAGUGAGGUGUGGUCACCGUGAGGUGUGGUCACUGUGAGGAGCGGUCACAGUGAGGUGUGAACACCGUGAGGUGUGGUCACUGUGGGAAGCAGUCACAGUGAGGUGUGGUCACCAUGGGGUGUGGUCACCAUGGGGUGUGGUCACUGUUGGGAAUGGUCACAGUGAGGUGUGGUCACCAUGGGGUGUGGUCACCAUGGGGUGUGGUCACUGUUGGGAAUGGUCACAGUGAGGUGUGGUCACAGUGAGGUGUGAACACCGUGAGGUGUGGUCACUGUGGGAAGCAGUCACAGUGAGGUGUGGUCACCAUGGGGUGUGGUCACCAUGGGGUGUGGUCACUGUUGGGAAUGGUCACAGUGAGGUGUGGUCACCAUGGGGUGUGGUCACCAUGGGGUGUGGUCACUGUUGGGAAUGGUCACAGUGAGGUGUGGUCACCAUGGGGUGUGGUCACCAUGGGGUGUGGUCACUGUUGGGAAUGGUCACAGUGAGGUGUGGUCACCGUGGGGUGUGGUCACCGUGGGGUGUGGUCACUGUGGGGCUGUGUGAGAUUUCGAUUGGAAUUGAGCAAAAUUCUGAUUCGGAUUGAGAGAGACUCUGGGAGUGAUUGAGGUUGUGACUGGAAUUGUGAGAGAUUCCCUUUGGUUUUAUGUGGGAUUUCAACUGGGAGAUUCCAAUUGGGAUUGAGUGUGAUUCUGCUUGGGAUUGACUGAGAUUCCAUUUGGGAAUGGCUGAGAUUCUGUCUGGGAUUGAGAGAGAUUCUGAUUGGGAUUGAGAGAGAUUCUAAUUGGGGAUGAAUGAGAUUCUAUUUGGGAUUGUGUGAUUCCAAGUGAGAGUGACUAAGAUUCCAUUUGGGAUUGAGAUUCCAAUUAGGAUUGUAUGAGAUUCAAAUUAGGAUAUGGUGACAUUCUGACUGGGAUUGAGACUCCAGUUGGGAAUAACUGAGUCUCUGAUUAGGAGUGGCUGAGAUUGCAAUUGAGAUUGAGAGAGAUUCCCUUUAGGAUUGUGCAAGAUUCCCUUUGGGAGUGACUGAGAUUCGGAUUGGGAUUGAGUGACAUUCAAAUGAGUGUGACUGAGAUUCUGAUUGGGAUUGCGAGGGAUUUCCUUUGGCAUUGUGUGAGAUUCCGAUUGGGAUUUAGUGAGAUUUCAGUUGGGAUUGCAUGAGAUUUCCUUUGGGAUUGUGAGAGACUCUGAUUGGGAUUUAGUGAGAUUCCAACUGGGAGUGACUGAGAUUUUGUUUGCGGUUGAGUGAGGUUCUGAUGGGGGUUGACUGAGGUUCCCUUUGGGACUGAGAGAGAUUCAAAUUUAGUGUGACUGAGAUUCCGAUUGGAGGUGACUGGAAAUCUAAUUGGGAUUGUUUCAGAAUCAGAUUGGGAUUGUGCGAGACUCUGAUCGAGAGUAACUGAGAUUCCAAAUGGGAUUGGAUGAGGUGCCGAUUGGGAUUGAGAGAAAUUCUGAGUGGGGUUGAGUGAGAUUCCGAAUGGGAGUGACAGAAAUUUUGUUUGGGAUUGAGUGAAAUUCUGAUUGGGAUAGAGUGAGAUGCCCUUUGGGAUUGAAAGAGGUUCCAAUUGGGAGUGACUGAGAUUCCAUUUGUGAUUGCAUGAGAUUCCGGUUGGGAUAGAGUGAGAUUCCAAUUGGGAUUGAAUGAGAUUCCAAUUGGGAUUGAGUGAUUCUGUUUUGAAUUGAGAGGGAUUCUGAUUGUGAUUGUGCGAGGUUCCAACUGAAUGACUGAGACUCUGAUUGGGAUCAAGCAAGAUUCCGAUUGGGGUGUGAUUGAGAUUCCGAUUUGGAGUGAAUGAGAUUCGAAUUUGCAUUGAGUGAGAUUCCCUGUGGGAUUAUGUGAGAUUCUGAUUGGGGUUAUGAGAGAUUUUGAUUGUGAGUGACCGAGAUUGCGACUGGGAUUGAGUGAGAUUCCGAUGGAAUUGAGGGAGAUUCCCUUCUGGAUUGUGUGAAAAUCGGAUUGGGAGCAAUUGGGAUUCAUUUUGGGAUUGUGAGAUUCUGAUUGGGAUAGAGUGAGACUCCUAUUGGGAUUGCGUGAGAAUCUGAUUGUGAUUGAGAGUGUCUCCGAUUGGGAUUGAGUGAGAUACAGAUUGGGGUUGAGUGAGAUUCAGAUUGGGAUUGAGAGAGAUUUAGAUUGGGAUUGAGAGAGAUUCCGAUUGGGAUUGAGAGAGAUUCCGAUUGGGAUUGAGAAAGAUUCCGAUUGGGAUUGAGAGAGAUUCCGAUUAGGAUUCACCAAAAUUCCGAUUGCAAAUAAGCGAGACACAGAUUGGGAUCUUGUGAGAUUCUGAUUGCAAGUGACUGAGCAUCUGAUUGGGAUCGAGUCUGCCGGUUGGGAUUGAGAGAGCCUUGGGUUGGGAGUGACAGAUUCCAACAGGGAGCAAGUGGGACUCCAGUUUGGGUUGAGUGAGGCUCCUGCUGAGACGAACAUAGAUCACGCACAUGUGCUCUCACUUAGAGGGACACUGUAAUGCACCCACACUUGGGGGAGGGGGAUACACAGAAACAGGAAUGCACAGGUGAACACAGACAUGGUAACACGCGCAUAGGAACAUUCCCAUGGGAAUGUGGGCACACGGGAACACACACACGCACAGAUACAGGAUCCCAGACUCCCUUGCCUUCAUCCACAUGACCAACACUCCAAGCCCUGAUCGAGCACCCAUCCAG